AGUGUCUCUAGCCAUAUAUGGCACUAGGUUUGUUUGUUUGUUUGUUUGUUUGUUUGUUUGUUUUGCUUCUCUCCCUCCCCUGACAAAGAGUUUGAACUCCUUAAGAUAAAGAAUCAUGGUAGACUUGUAUCAGUAUUCCCUAUUCAGAUUUCGGCACCUAGUAAGCACUCAAUAAGUGAGUUUUGUACAUAAAUUUAUAAAUGUAUUA
rnacentral:lncRNA from 10 species